GACGAACGCUGGCGGCGUGCUUAACACAUGCAAGUCGAACGGAAAGGCCCUGCUUUUGUGGGGUGCUCGAGUGGCGAACGGGUGAGUAACACGUGAGUAACCUGCCCUUGACUUUGGGAUAACUUCAGGAAACUGGGGCUAAUACCGGAUAGGAGCUCCUGCUGCAUGGUGGGGGUUGGAAAGUUUCGGCGGUUGGGGAUGGACUCGCGGCUUAUCAGCUUGUUGGUUGGGUAGUGGCUUACCAAGGCUUUGACGGGUAGCCAGCCUGAGAGGGUGACCGGCCACAUUGGGCCUGAGAUACGGCCCAGACUCAUUCGGGAGGCAGCAGUGGGGAAUAUUGCACAAUGGGCGGAGGCCUGAUGCAGCAACGCCGCGUGCGGGAUGACGGCCUUCGGGUUGUAAACCGCUUUCGCCUGUGACGAAGCGUGAGUGACGGUACUGGGUAAAGAAGCACCGGCAAACUACGU
rnacentral:rRNA from 1 species